AUUGAACGCUGGCGGCAGGCCUAACACAUGCAAGUCGAGCGAGCGGCGGACGGGUGAGUAAUGUCUGGGAAACUGCCUGAUGGAGGGGGAUAACUACUGGAAACGGUAGCUAAUACCGCAUACCAUCAGAUGUGCCCAGAUGGGAUUAGCUGGUAGGUCGGGUAACGGCUCACCUAGGCGACGAUGCCUAGCUGGUCUGAGAGGAUGACCAGCCACACUGGAACUGAGACACGGUCCAGACUCCUACGGGAGGCAGCAGUGGGGAAUAUGGAAAAAUGGGCGCAAGCCUGAUGCAGCCAUGCCGCGUGUGUGAAGAAGGCCUUCGGGGUGUAAAGCACUUUCAGCGGGGAGGCGUUACCCGCAGAAGAAGCACCGGCGAACUCCGUGCCAGCAGCCGCGGUAAUUC
rnacentral:rRNA from 1 species